rnacentral:rRNA from 1 species
AGUCACUGACAUUAGACUACCCCCGUAGUCCCAGCCGUAAACUAUGCGCGUUAGGUGUACUGGUGACCACGAGUCGACCGGGGUGCCGAAGGGAAACCGUGAAACGUGCCGCCUGGGAAGUACGGUCGCAAGGCUAGAAACUUAAAGGAAUUGGCGGGGGAGCACCACAACGGGUGGAGCCUGCGGUUUAAUUGGACUCAACGCCGGUAAUCUCACCGGAUAGGACAGACAUAUGAUAGUCGGGCUGAAGACUCUACUUGAUGAUCUG